GCGGCGGUAGUCUAGUGGCAAGACGCUGCAUCAAUGUGUCUUGCAAACACAAGCUUUCAAUAAGCGAUCGCUGGUGCUCCCAUGGAGCAUCGCUUGCCCAUUGAAGAUGCAGAGAUCGUGAGUUCGAAUCUCACUCGCCGCA
rnacentral:tRNA from 1 species